UUAAGUUACCCUUCCAGCGUAAAGAUUCGGGAUGUAUCCUUUAUUCAGUGCUUUCGCUUAUGAAAUGUGUUUUCACAGUCGAAAAGGACAAGACACACAGAAAACAUAACGGAGACAAACAAGAAGAAACAGGAAACAAGAUGUAUAAUUUAGAGUGUGCUGGGGCGAUGCUGGCCGAGGGCAGUUCUCUCCAAAGAAAGCGGUCCCUCUAACAGAAUAGCGCUGACAACCUGUGGCAGGGUGGGAGGAUGGGAGCAGUAGGGUGAGGCUUGGGUAGGGUGAAGAACAAUGUACGGAUGCCAAUGACAUUGGCAUUAGCCAGAGGAUUUCCUUCCUUGGCGAGCUGCAGAUCUCUCUGCCGCCAUCAGAAUCGGACCUUCUCAACACAACAAUCACUUGUCAGGGUGUUGUACGAUGGACUUUGUCCCAUUUGUGUGACAGAGAUACGGUUCCUCCAGUAUUAUCAGAGAAACAAAGCAGAAAAAGUCACAUUUGUUGACAUCUCACUUCCUGGUUAUGACGGAGGAGAGUUCGCAGGGGUCAGCUACGACACGGCCAUGGAUGAGAUGCACGUGAUUGAUGAAAGGGACCAGGUACACCGUGGGAUCCCAGCGUUCUCAGUCAUGUACGGCGCCGUCGGCCUGGGCUGGUUGGGGCGCUUCAUGAUGUGGGCCCCUUUGAGGCCCUGGAUGGACAAAAGCUACGCCAUCUUUGCCAGGAAUCGCCUGAAGUGGACUGGACGUGGGGAUGAGUGCCGUACCGAAGCUGUGCAAAGAAAACACGUUGAUCGUUUGGAUGGCAGUUCGACUAUUUAUGGGAUGGAUUACAAAACUGCUGGGCAUCUGCCACUAGAUGACAAUGAAGGUUGGAAAACAAGCUGUCGCAAUAAAAUGCUAGCAAAGUGAUGAAAUGUGUUUUUGAAGGAAUGCGUUUUCAAGAAUGACAACAUUUGAAGGCCUGAUGUUGAUUAUACUGUUGCAUUACCUUGGCCAACACAGAAUGGAAUCAACAACGUCAAAUCGCACCUUUGUAUGGUUUGUGCAAUAAAAACGUCAGUAAUGCUGUAACACGAGUGACAUUAUAUUUUCUGUCAUCAUGUGUGACUGUGCUGGGCAGAAGCCAGACCCAGGAGGGAUCAAAGAGGAGGUCCGUCUCCGCUACAACAGUGUUGUUAUCAGCCAGACACCAGUGGCUGAUACAGGUAGUACAAACUAGUACGCACGUGAGUGACUGUACCCAACGCUUACGCAAUAGCUCUGUUGCAUACACGGUAGAGUGGGCCACACCCCUUUCAACUCAUGUGGACAUUCUUGUGUUGAACUG
ensembl:lncRNA